rnacentral:ncRNA from 1 species
UUAAAAUUUGAUUUUGGUUUAUUUAUUAAUUUUAUGAUUUUUUUGCAUGUAUAUUUUUAUUAAAAAGAAUAAUUUGCAGCAAUUAGUUUUAAUAAUUAAAGAAAUUUAGAAUUAUAAAUUAUAUAAUUUAAGUAUCGACAAAAAAAUUGUGCCAGCAGUAGCGGUUAAACGUUAUGAUACUAGUUAAUAUUUUUAAUUAAUAAAUUAUAUUAAUUUAAUAUAUAUAUUAAAAUGAAAAAUUUUGAAGUGAAAUUAAAUUUAUUUAUUUAUUUAUUUAUUUAUAUUUUAUUUAUAUUUAUAUUUUAUUCAUACCUUAUUUUAUUUAUAUUAUAUUUAUAUUAUAUUUAUAUUAUAUUUAUAUUAUAUUUAUAUAUUAUUUUAUGAAAUCUAAAUAAUAAACUAGGAUUAGAUACCCUAUUAUUUUAGAUGUUAAAAAUUUAUUUUAAUUAUUAAUAGUUAUGAUCUUGAAAAUUAAAAAAAUUGGCGGUGUUUAAAACUAAUUAGGGGAAUUUGUUUAUUAAACGAUGAUCCGCGAGAAAUCUUACUUUAAUUUAUUUAGCUUAUUUAUUUUUGUUAUCAGAAUAUUUUUUAAGAAUUAAAAAUUUUCAAAUAAUUUAAUAAAAUUUUAUUUCAGAUCAAGAUGUAGCUUAUAUUAAAGUUUAAAUUAAUUACAAUAAAAAUUAAAUUUUUGGAUAUGAAUUGAAAUAUUUACUUGAAAUUGAACUUAAUAGUAAAAUUUAAAAUUACAUAAAUUUGAAUUAAGAAUUAAAUGUGUACAAAUCGCCCGUCACUCUCAUUAAAAUUGAGAUAAGUCGUAACAUAGUAAAUGUAUUGGAAAAUGUAUUUAGAAUU